rnacentral:lncRNA from 1 species
GGUAAAGUUUUCCCGACACAAAACAGCUCUAGAGCUCUGUGCAAAGGAGAGAAAGUAUCACCGAAGUCGGUUAUAGUUAGGCUACUGUGAAUUUCACACUGCCAAAUCCAGUGGUAAGGUAGGUGGUAAUCGUUUCCCUGAAAAGUUGUGUGAUUGUCUGAUCCUUCACAGAGCCUUUUACGGGUCUGGUGCUGGCCAGUGCGGAUAACAAAGCCCUUUCAAAAAAGGCAUAGAUGAAAAGAACGUACCUUUAAUUAGUUACCACAGCCUUCCAAGUACAACGGCGACUUGUAAUCCACGUAAACCUUGACAAGUUACGCCCAAAUCCUUUUCUUUAUGUUUUCUUCGAGCGCUCCGUUACAGGCUCUGUCUGGGAUACAUUGGCUCUGUAGUGAACCACCUAUCCCGGGGAACUGUAACAAGUAGCGAUACAUGUGGAACUAGGAGAGUGUAUGGUUCAUUCCACGAAAGGGGUCGGUACACAUGUGUAAAGAUGUAGCAUACAAGAAAUUCCAUUCUGGUGACAUAUGAGAGAAAAAAAUAAAACAAUAUAGCUACACUUUCAGAUGUAGUCUAUAAAACAAAACCAGUGAAACGGAGAGAAAAGUUUAACGGACACACACUAUUCCCCCCCUACAUAGUCGAAUUUGGUAGCGUCCACGACUGCCUGUCAUGCCAUUCUUACCGACUGUAGCAGCAGCGCUGCAGCAAUUUUGGAUGCCUGGGAAAUGGGAGAGAGGUAGAGGGGGUGGGGAAGUUAAGCGAAUCCCCAUGCGUAAGAGAGUUGUCCAACUUUUGUCAAGAGAUUAAAGUAACGGCUUAGGUAUUUUACGGUCUUGUGUUCGGCAUUAGGUCGCUUGCUCUGAAAAGAUUCUGGAGUAUUUUCAAAUGUCUUGAUUGCACCGAUUAGUCCCUUAGCCUUUGACGAAGUCUUCUGGGCAAGACUCCCACUGUGAGGAAAGCCACACAGGCAUCAGAGACAUGACAGGCUCUCUCCUAGCCCUAUAGGGAGGAAAAGACGCAGACAUCCAUGGUUGUCACGGUUACAUAACCCCAGUCCUGGCGAACUCUUAAGCAUUCUUAAGGCUCUAAGCUGUGCUGACUGCAGUGAGGUUCCAUCCAUGAACAUGGCAGAGUUAGGGCGUGGAGGAGCUCCUUCACCAGACUGGACCUGGAUCUGUUCUGGCACACUUUCAAACCAAAACUACAGGUCAUUAAGACAUAAGGGAUUGGUAAAACACACAACAAAUGUAAUCAUUUACAAGGUAUUAUUACUGUGAAGAA